rnacentral:rRNA from 1 species
UGGCGAACGGGUGAGUAACACGUGGGUGAUCUGCCUUGCACUCGGGAUAAGCCUGGGAAACUGGGUCUAAUACCGGAUAGGACCAUGCUUUAGUGUGUGUGGUGGAAAGUUUUCGGUGCAAGAUGAGCCCGCGGCCUAUCAGCUUGUUGGUGGGGUAAUGGCCUACCAAGGCGACGACGGGUAGCCGGCCUGAGAGGGUGUACGGCCACAUUGGGACUGAGACACGGCCCAG